UACGGAGGUGGCAAGCGUUGCUCGGAAUCACUGGGCGUAAAGGGCGCGUAGGCGGGGAGGUAAGUCGGGUGUGAAAUCCCUCGGCCCAACCGAGGAACUGCGCCCGAGACUGCUUCUCUUGAGUCCCGGAGAGGAAGAUGGAAUUCCCGGUGUAGCGGUGAAAUGUGUAGAGAUCGGGAGGAACACCGGUGGCGAAGGCGGUCUUCUGGACCGAUACUGACGCUGAGGCGCGAAAGCGUGGGGAGCAAACAGG
rnacentral:rRNA from 1 species